rnacentral:misc_RNA from 1 species
AACGCACAUUGCGCCCCCCGGUAUUCCGAGGGGCAUGCCUGUUCGAGCGUCAUUAUCACCCCUCAAGCCUGGCUUGGUGUUGGGGCCUGCCCGUCACACGGCAGCCCUUAAAAGCAGUGGCGGUGCCGUUAGGCUCUAAGCGUAGUAAUACUUCUCGCUACAGAGCCCUGACGGUCUCCUGCCAGAACCCCCCAUUUUUUCAUGAUUGACCUCGGAUCAGGUAGGGUUACCCGCUGAACUUAA